rnacentral:tRNA from 1 species
GGAGAGGUGGCCGAGCUGGACGAAGGCGCUCGACUCGAAAUCGAGUAGGCAAGUGAGGACUUGCCUCGUGGGUUCGAAUCCCACCCUCUCCGCCA